UCCACCAUCUCCCAAGAUAUCUAGUUAGGCUGUCCACAUUAUCCAUUUAUCAAUUCACGUAACCUUUUAUUCUUUUUUUCCUCAGUCACCAUCAUCAAAUCACACAUAAACAUGCAAACCAAUAGUUUAUGCCAAACAAGACAGCACACAACAUCGGGUUCUCAGUCAUUCAACCCAUAAUUAAUAAAACAGUGAUAUAUGCACACGAAACUAUGAAAUGAAAACAUGAGAUAUCAUACUACAUUUAAUACUGGAAAUU
rnacentral:lncRNA from 1 species